GCCGGGAUCGCCUAAUCUGGUAGGGCGCAGGCCUGGAAAGCCUGUUUCCUGAAAAGGAAUUCAGGGUUCAAAUCCCUGUCCCGGCGCCA
rnacentral:tRNA from 1 species